rnacentral:lncRNA from 1 species
GGGGUCCCUAUGGGUCGUUAUGGGGUACCUAUGGGGCUCUGUGGGGGUCUAAGGGGCUCUAUGGGGUCCCUAUGGGUCGCUAUGGGGUCCCUAUGGGGCUCUAUGGGGUCCCUAUCGGUCAUUAUGGGGUCCCUAUGGGUCUCUAUGGGGUCCCUAUGGGUCCCUAUGGGGCUAUAUGGGGCUCUGGGGGGUCUCUGUGGGGUCCCUAUGGGUCAUUAUGGGGUCCCUAUGGGUCGUUAUGGAGUACCUAUG